CAGUAGCCGCGGUAAUACGAGGGGGGCAAGCGUUGUUCGGAAUUAUUGGGCGUAAAGGGCGCGUAGGCGGUUUGGCAAGUUUGGUGUGAAAUCUUCGGGCUCAACUCGAAGUCUGCACCGAAAACUGCCGGGCUUGAGUAUGGGAGAGGUGAGUGGAAUUUCCGGUGUAGCGGUGAAAUGCGUAGAUAUCGGAAGGAACACCUGUGGCGAAAGCGGCUCACUGGACCAUUACUGACGCUGAGGCGCGAAAGCUAGGGGAGCAAACAGGAUUAGAUACCCGAGUAGUCCCUGUCUCUUAUAC
rnacentral:rRNA from 1 species